UCCUUGAUUGAUAGAGGGGUAUUUGGCAGCCUAAGCCAAUCCUGAGUACAUACCAAGGCUUCCACAAUUUUAGGAGUUAAGGAACUCCUAAAAGGAUCUAAAACCCUCCCAAUUGUACUAAAGGCAGAUUCUGAGGCAACAGUUGAGAUAGCAAUAGCUAAGAUAUCCCUAGCAAUCUUAGAAAGGAUAGGAAACCUUGCAGAAUUGACCUUCCACCAUCUCA